CAGCUUAUGAUUGUGUACGACAAACGUGCAUUUUGCAAAAGAGGCUCGAAUAAAGAAGUUAAAAGGCCACAUAAAGUACGAAUUUGUAGAGCAUUGAGGACUGAAUUUUUCGGAAACGUUUUGCCAAAUACAGACAAGGUAACCCUUACCUGGAGUAGAAAAUCAUUCGUAUUUUUAUCAAUUCAAAUUUUCGCAAAUAAUUUAUUGAUUUUACCAUAUCAGUAAUAAUUCAUGUCAACACAAAAGCGCUGACUACUGGACUGUUUAUAAAUAAAAAC
rnacentral:lncRNA from 1 species